UACAAAAAAAAAAAUCAAUAAAAUUAUAUUUUCUUUAGUUGAAAUUUAAGUUUGGUUUUACUUAAACCAACACUUAAUCAUAAAGCAUACUUUGAAAUCUAUUGACAUAAAAGUUGACGAGUUCUUUCUUACAUUAAACAGUAUUAGUGUGUUUUGUUAAUACUCAAAUAUUAUUUUUGCUUUAAUUCUAUUGUACAAUUCAAAAAAAGCUAUCAUUUGGUUUAUAAAAAUCUAACUGAUUUGAUGUCAAUAUUGCUGUGUACAUAUUUGUAGGAUUAACAAAUCACAUAUUCAAGAAUUAAAACUAUUACAACAGUCUUUCAACCAAUGAAUAGUUCAGAAGAUGAGUCAAAAUCAAUUAAAAGUAAUAAAAAAAAGUAAAAAAAAAGUACCAAAACAAAAUCAAUCUUCUAAGAAAUGUGCAUCUACUGAACAGAGACUUUAUGUCUUAUCAUCAGAAUCGCAAGAUACUGAUUCUGCUGAUUUUUUGUUGGUUACCAAUAAAUAAAGGAAAAAAAAACAUAUCAAAA